UAGGGAAUAUUGGACAAUGGGCGAAAGCCUGAUCCAGCAAUGCCGCGUGUGUGAAGAAGGCCUUCGGGUUGUAAAGCACUUUCAGUGGGGAGGAAAGCCUUUGGGUUAAUAACCCAGAGGGGUGACGUUACCUACAGAAGAAGCACCGGCUAACUCUGUGCCAGCAGCCGCGAUAAUACAGAGGGUGCAAGCGUUAAUCGGAAUUACUGGGCGUAAAGCGCUCGUAGGCGGGUGCCUAAGUCGAUUGUGAAAGCCCUGGGCUUAACCUGGGAACUGCAGUCGAUACUGGGUAUCUAGAGUAUGAUAGAGGAUAGUGGAAUUCCCGGUGUAGCAGUGAAAUGCGUAGAUAUCGGGAGGAACACCAGUGGCGAAGGCGACUUUCUGGAUCAAUACUGACGCUGAGGAGCGAAAGCGUGGGGAGCGAAACAGGAUUAGAUACCCUAGUAGUCCCUGAGCGGGCUGGCAAGGCGCAU
rnacentral:rRNA from 1 species